rfam:Ictidomys tridecemlineatus contig003602, whole genome shotgun sequence.
GGGGUUGUGGCUCAAUGGUAGAGCGCUCGCCUAAUGUCUGUGAGAUGCUAGGUUCGAUCCUCAGCACCA